AAACAAUGCUCUGCCAACCAAGGCUAGUAAGCAUUAGUCCUUGCUGUGUUCGACUUUAGGAUAAUGUGCAUUGAACCUGAGUCCGUGUUGACUGUGGUAGAUGCGGGUGUCCAGGUGAAUUAUCCUACUCUACCAGACCACAGGAUGGAAUGAUAGUUCUGACACAUCCUCAGUCCAGAGCCGAUAGUGGCGCCAACAGUGGGGUGGACGUUGGAGUUCUGCCAGGAUCUAGGUAAGGUUGAUGGUUCCCGGAUGAUGGCAGUGACCAGCCUGUGCGGUGCGUGUCUUUUUCGUCUUUCAGGUAUGCCAAGUGGCAUCCCGGAAAACACCUGUCAGAUGCGUUUCUUCUGCUGCUGCUAGUCAUGAGAUCAAGGUGGGUCUGAGAAUGGCCAUUCAGAGGCCCUGGAUAGUAACCAGGUAAUGGAUGACACCAGUCCUAUGCCAAUACAGACCACUUGAACUUCAGAUUUCCUGGACAAAGAGGGCACUGUCCUUGACACAGUGUUUUUCCCAUGGUUUCCUGCAGGAGUCCCGUAAAGUUCUCUUCCUGUAGAGAGGUAGGAGAUGUUGUGGCAUUACCUCAUGAAAGACAUUCUGAAUUUCCUGCAUGUAGAUAGUUAAUGAUGGUUUAAGUCUGGUAGAGUAACCUUGUGUUUGGCAUAUGUGUCAUUGAGAAAAAAUAAUUAGUGAUUCCCAAUGCCAGUAAGCAUGAGAUUUUACUGUUUGCUUAUUCAGAGGUAAGGGCUUUUAUUUUUUUUUUUCGGUAAAUCUGACCCUCCACGUGAGAAACAGAUAUGCCAGUGCCCAGGUAGUUGAUCAUAUUGUCUGUCACCCCGAUGUGGACUGUGCUGUUUCUCCAGGUAUCCCUCGGAGGCUCUGGCUUAGAUAUUUUCAGUUAUCUGGGUAACCUGGAUGAGUUGCGAAACGAUACCAAUGAACAAGAGUAUUUGUGGGUGUCCUCGUAGCAUAGGUUGUGUACCAAGCAGAGUUUCCCCAAUAUGUCUUUCAGAUGAAUGUCAGGGCAUCACAGCAGGCCUUUUGAAGCUAGGUAACGUGGGGCAUUGCUGGCUGAGGUAAGUGCUGACACAGGCCUAAACCACAGCCCGCAGCAUCGUACUGUCACAGAGGCUUAUUUCAAUGAUGAUGUGCCCCUACACAUCUUCCCGCCAUGAUUUCUUUUCCAUGUAUUCAGAUGAGAAAUGAUUCCGUUUUCACCACUCCCAGAUAGGCCGGGUUUUCCCAUUUUAUAAAAGUAUAUGCUGAACCCUGUGAGUGUUGAGGGAUUGCAGGGAGCCAGGUAUUUAUCGCUGUGUUCCCCACUUCUGUGCUGCCGCUCCGAUUUCUAGAGAUGUGCAGUUGAGAAACAGUAGUUUUCUGCUGUCAGGGUCGACCUGAGAUUACUGCAACUAUACACAUCGAGUGGGUGUGUCCCAUAAAGAUGGAAAUAAACAUGGGACUUUGUGGGAGUCUUUGCAGAAAACCCCCUGUCUUUUUACACAUAUGUAUUGGUGCCUCUUUCAGAUUCCUGCUAUGACAUCACAGUGAAUCCAACAUGGGUCCCUAUCAGGAAGCAGGGCUGCUCUGCAGGUCAAGGCUGCAUGAGGACCCAAAGCAACACAUGGGCCACUUGAAGUUCAGGUGUAUAGGUAAGUGAGGAUGGUGUCCAUACUUCCUGUUGUUCCCAUGAUUUCACCUCAGGUGUCCUGGUCAGAAAUGACAAAUGUCCCUGGCACACUAGAAACCGUGAGAUUUCCCUCUGCAUAUUUCAGAGACAAUGUCUAACCCAGUGAGCACAGUGGGACUGCAAAUACCAGGUAAUGAUCUUGGGGUUCCCAGCCACAGCGAUUACGCUGGACAUUUUGCAGGUGUCUUGUAGAGAGAAAUGCUGUUUUCUGGGCCUGCAGCCCUGAGCUUAGGGGGUCCCACCAGCAUCCAAGUAAGAGUCCUUCAACGAUGGAUGCGAGCAUUGUGAUUUGCAUGUGUCCUGUUAGAACACUUUGUGUGUUUCUGAGGCAUAUAUCUCAGUGUAGGUUUUCCAGGGUCCCACAAGGAAAUCCCGAUAAACAGGAGUCAGGAUCAGGGAACACGUCUGCUAUCUGGGUAAGUGAUGGUGUUCAUGGUAAACUCACCACACACCAGGCGAUCUCCACAUACCUAGGUAAGCAAGGUUCCUUUGCCUGAAGGGUUUAUCAUGUGAUGGGUUAACAGGUAUUUUGGUAAGAAAGGGUAGCGGCUCUCCGUUCUCCUCGCCAUGUGAUCCUAUUGAUUUCUACCCUGGAAAGAAUGUAUGAUGUAUGUGGUCUGUGAGGGCUGAUUGAUUGUCACAUACCCAGGGAACUCAUGUGGCAUUGUGCAUCACAGGAGUAACUGUGGUGGAUUUGCAGGGAAACUGGCCAGGGAAAAAUAGUGUGUCCUACAAUGGCCUAGACCCUGGAGGGCCUGCAAGCAUCCAAAUACAUUUUUGACUCCCACAGUGAUUAUACUGAGCAAGGCGGUUUGCAGGAUCCUGAUGGAAAAGCUGUGUCUGUUGAGCCAUUGAUCACACUUGCAGUUUCAGGUUCAGGCAGGCAGAAGUCAGAGCAUGAGGACAACAUUGAGGUCUCUCCAGGCGAUUUAUGGACUCUCGGAUUUGGUAGUGAUUCAGAUAUGAUGGCGAACCUAAUCACAAAAUAACCAUGAGAUCAUGAGAUUGUCAGGGGUCUAGUAAAAAGAUGGUGGUCCCCUUAACCAUGAAAGUUAUGAUGAAAUUUUGUAAGCCAGUAAUUAAGAGAUCACAGAGAUCCUAACCGUGAUACUGAACAAGGAAUUUUGCAAAUCACCAGGUAAGAGAUGAUUGUGUCUCUAAAAAUGUGGUGACCGUGGGAUUUUGCAGAUAUCCAAUUAAGGAAUAAUGUGUUCCUAGAAAUUGUAGUACCAAGGUAUUCAGCAGUUACCCAGGAAAGAAAUGGUAUGUCCCUAGCAAUGGCAUUUAAUCUGGGUAAUUUGUAGGUCUCCAUGUAUGGUAGGUUUUUCUAAAUCUGAUAGAUCUCAUGGGCUUCUGUAGGCAUCCGCAUGAGAGAUGAUAUGUCAUAAAUUGUAAGUAACUGCCACUACCGUAACCAAAGUAUUUUAUAAGUGUCCAGCUAAGAGCUCUGGCUUUAUGUAUUUGUUGGAUUUAUGACCAUUUUUUUCUGUGUUUUCAUAGUUUUUUUUCUUUUUUUGAGAGUCUGGCUGAGGUAUUGCUGAUGCACGCAUAAACCACAGCAUGCACCAUGGGACUGUCCCAGGGACCUGGUUCACUGAUGAGAUGUCCCCACACGUCUUCCCGCCGUGAUUUCUUUCACAGGUACUCAGCUGAGAAAUGAUUGAGUCCUUACCAAUCCCAGAUUGGCCAGGUUUUCCCAUUUUCUGUUUCAACAAAAGUGUAUGCUGAAACCUGUGAGUGUAGAGGGAUUGCAGGGAGUCAGGUAUUUAUCACUGUAUUCCCCGCCCCCGUGCUGCCCCUAGGAUGUCUACAGGUGAACAGUCGAGAAACGGUGGUUUUCUGCUAUCAGGGUCGACCUGAGAUUACUGCAAGUAUCCAGGUCGAGUGGGUGUGUCCCCAAAAGAUGGAAAUCAAGGUUAUUUGUAGGAGUGCUGGUGGAAAACCCCAUGUCCUUCUACACAUGUGUCUUCUACACAUCUGAUUUUGCAAGCUGCCAGAGAAGAUAUGAUGGUGUCUCUAAAAAUGUCUAAACAUGUGGUGACCACGGGAUUUUGCAGAUAACCAAUGACCAAAAUGGAUCCUACAGUAUAAUCACACAG
rnacentral:lncRNA from 10 species